rnacentral:rRNA from 1 species
GACGAACGCUGGCGGCGUGCUUAACACAUGCAAGUCGAACGGAAAGGCCCUGCUUUUGUGGGGUGCUCGAGUGGCGAACGGGUGAGUAACACGUGAGUAACCUGCCCUUGACUUUGGGAUAACUUCAGGAAACUGGGGCUAAUACCGGAUAGGAGCUCCUGCUGCAUGGUGGGGGUUGGAAAGUUUCGGCGGUUGGGGAUGGACUCGCGGCUUAUCAGCUUGUUGGUGGGGUAGUGGCUUACCAAGGCUUUGACGGGUAGCCGGCCUGAGAGGGUGACCAGCCACAUUGGGACUGAGAUACGGCCCAGACUCCUACGGGAGGCAGCAGUGGGGAAUAUUGCACAAUGGGCGGAAGCCUGAUGCAGCAACGCCGCGUGCGGGAUGACGGCCUUCGGGUUGUAAACCGCUUUCGCCUGUGACGAAGCGUGAGUGACGGUAAUGGGUAAAGAAGCACCGGCUAACUACGUGCCAGCAGCCGCGGUGAUACGUAGGGUGCGAGCGUUGUCCGGAUUUAUUGGGCGUAAAGGGCUCGUAGGUGGUUGAUCGCGUCGGAAGUGUAAUCUUGGGGCUUAACCCUGAGCGUGCUUUCGAUACGGGUUGACUUGAGGAAGGUAGGGGAGAAUGGAAUUCCUGGUGGAGCGGUGGAAUGCGCAGAUAUCAGGAGGAACACCAGUGGCGAAGGCGGUUCUCUGGGCCUUUCCUGACGCUGAGGAGCGAAAGCGUGGGGAGCGAACAGGCUUAGAUACCCUGGUAGUCCACGCUGUAAACGGUGGGUACUAGGUGUGGGGUCCAUUCCACGGGUUCCGUGCCGUAGCUAACGCUUUAAGUACCCCGCCUGGGGAGUACGGCCGCAAGGCUAAAACUCAAAGGAAUUGACGGGGCCCCGCACAAGCGGCGGAGCAUGCGGAUUAAUUCGAUGCAACGCGUAGAACCUUACCUGGGUUUGACAUGGAUCGGGAGUGCUCAGAGAUGGGUGUGCCUCUUUUGGGGUCGGUUCACAGGUGGUGCAUGGCUGUCGUCAGCUCGUGUCGUGAGAUGUUGGGUUAAGUCCCGCAACGAGCGCAACCCUUGUUCACUGUUGCCAGCACGUUAUGGUGGGGACUCAGUGGAGACCGCCGGGGUCAACUCGGAGGAAGGUGGGGAUGACGUCAAGUCAUCAUGCCCCUUAUGUCCAGGGCUUCACGCAUGCUACAAUGGCUGGUACAGAGAGUGGCGAGCCUGUGAGGGUGAGCGAAUCUCGGAAAGCCGGUCUCAGUUCGGAUUGGGGUCUGCAACUCGACCUCAUGAAGUCGGAGUCGCUAGUAAUCGCAGAUCAGCAACGCUGCGGUGAAUACGUUCCCGGG